rnacentral:tRNA from 1 species
AAGGAUUUAAGUUAAGUAAACUCUUAACCUUCAAAGUUAAAAAUAGAUUGGGUCUAAGCCUUA